GCCGCACCACCAUCCGCCGCGCCGCGUCACUACUUCGCCGCCGUUCAUGCUUUUGUUGCUGUCAGAACUCCACGCCGUCGCUGGAGCUUGAACGCCGCUGCAACCACCGCCGCGUGUUAUCAUCUUCAGAUCCGCUGCCGUUUGAGUCGCGAACAGGGGAACGCGCGCGAAGGAAACUGUCGCAGAACUGCCGUCACCGCCGCGUUGAUGGGCUUGCCGUCGUUCUGCUCGCGCGGCUGCUGCGUUGUCGGAGCUCCUCGCCACCGCUGCUAGCGCCGAAAACCGCCUUUCAAGCCUGUAUCUGUUGGGAGGAGUCCAAGCAAGAAAAGGAAGAAGGUGGCGAUGGAUACCUCCGUUGCUGCUGCUGUUACUAUCGGUGUUCCGGAGCUUGCAGUUGCUGCCAUUUUUGGUGAUGAACCUGGUUGUGUCCUUGCUGCUGAUUGAUUGUAGUGAGAGACGUUGUAGCCACUACUUUUCAUCUUGAGUCACUAUUGUCAUAUCUCGGCGCUGCCGCCCUUGUUUGGAACUACUGAAUGUUGUUGUCUCCGCCACUGUCGAUUUAUCUAUUGCAAGUCAUAAUUGAUAAUGGAGCUGCUAAGAUCGCUGCUGCUGCCAUGAAUUGGGGAUAAAGGAGAUUAUUGAGUUAAAUUCUGCGAUUGAGACAUCGAAGUAGAGGUUUUUCUUAAAUCUAUUUUACAUUACAGGGUUGUUAUAAAUCGAUAUUAACGCGUAAGAUACAUUUUUGUGAUUUCGUGAGUCUUAUGAAUUGAAUUGAGUUGUUUUGGUUGAAUAAGAUUAUUAGUUUGAUUGAUAAACUGAUCGACUGAGAAAGUUGGCUAUUUGGAUUAGUUGAUUGAUGUUGUUAAAGUGGUUUUUCCUUGAAUUAUUAGAGAAUAUUUAUUAUUGCCUUUUAGGUUAAUUUUGGAAACGGUUUGAUUUUAGAAAAGAUUUAAUAUUGAAAUUUGAUUUGAUAUUAAACCUGAUUUGAUAUCGGAAUUUGAUUUUAAAAUAAACUUGGAAAGGACUUGAUAUUUGAAAAUGGGUUAUUUAUUGAGAAUAAUUUGCUAUUUUGGAAAUGAUUCGAAAAGUGUUUGAGGAAUGGUUUGGUUUGAAACUGUUUGAGAAGACCGAGAAUUCUUAACUAUUGAUUAAUGCUGUUGGUUGAAGUCGGUUUAAAUUGCGAUUUAUAGGAUUGGUUGAUUGAAUUCUGGAUUUUGCAAUUUCCUUGGAUUGAGUGUUGUUGUGAUAAUGGUUAUUGGAAGUGAUUUGACUGAUUAACAGGCGUUUGGUUUGGUUUGGUUGGGACCCAAAAAGGGUGGCAGUGUCCAAGUUUUAGAG